GGGGGUGUCCCGGUUUCGACAGGGGAUCUGCUGGAUUAGACGGGCGUGUCGAGGUUGAUCACCCGGCCUCGUAAAAAGGUGAUUAAAUUGUAUAAUUGGCGAAAGUAAUU
rfam:Bdellovibrionales bacterium RIFOXYC1_FTLL_37_79 rifoxyc1_full_scaffold_992, whole genome shotgun sequence.